CAAUAGCGUAUAUUUAAGUUGUUGCAGUUAAAAAGCUCGUAGUUGGAUUUCGGGUGGGACGCAGCGGUCUCGCAUUGCGUUUGUACUGCUGCAGCCCUCCUUCUUGCCGGGGGCGGCCUCUCGGACUUCACUGUCUGGGGGUCAGAAUCGGCGAUGUUACUUUGAGUAAAUUAGAGUGUUCAAAGCAAGCUUACGCUCUGAAUAUAAUAGCAUGGGAUAACACGACAGGACUCUGGCCUAUCGUGUUGGUCUAUAGGACCAGAGUAAUGAUUAAGAGGGACAGUCGGGGGCAUUCGUAUUCCGUUGUCAGAGGUGAAAUUCUUGGAUUUAUGAAAGACGAACUUCUGCGAAAGCAUUUGUCAAGGAUGUUUUCAUUAA
rnacentral:rRNA from 1 species